rnacentral:sRNA from 1 species
UCAUUUCGGGAGAUACACCGUGGUCGGC